rnacentral:rRNA from 1 species
UGGGGAAUAUUGGACAAUGGGCGAAAGCCUGAUCCAGCAAUGCCGCGUGCAGGAAGAAGGCCUUCGGGUUGUAAACUGCUUUUGUACGGAACGAAAAGGCUCUUUCUAAUAAAGAGGGCCCCAUGACGGUACCGUAAGAAUAAGCACCGGCUAACUACGUGCCAGCAGCCGCGGUAAUACGUAGGGUGCGAGCGUUAAUCGGAAUUACUGGGCGUAAAGCGUGCGCAGGCGGUUCUAUAAGACAGAUGUGAAAUCCCCGGGCUCAACCUGGGAAUGGCAUUUGUGACUGUAGAGCUAGAGUACGGUAGAGGGGGAUGGAAUUCCGCGUGUAGCAGUGAAAUGCGUAGAUAUGCGGAGGAACACCGAUGGCGAAGGCAAUCCCCUGGACCUGUACUGACGCUCAUGCACGAAAGCGUGGGGAGCAAACAGGAUUAGAUACCCCCGUAGUCCCUGAGCGGGCUGGCAAGGCGCAU